CCUACUCUCUCUCUCUCUCUCUCUCUCUCUCUCUCUCUACCCCCCCCCCUGGACCAGAAGCUACCCCAGUUCUCAGUUUCCGCCGUCUUUGUGAUUGCAAAUCGAAAAUCCUGCAAAUGCAUGGAUCCAACGAAAAAGUUUAUAUAAGGUUGCAAACUUAAAAUGUAGAAUUACAUAUUCACCUCAAAAAUCCAUCGGACAAAUAUUGUUCAAAAAUCCAUCGGACAAAUAUUGUUCAAAAAUCCAUCGGACAAAUAUUGUUUGAAUGUUGAAAAUUUGAAAUAUGAAUUACGAC
rnacentral:lncRNA from 1 species